GACGAACGCUGGCGGCGUGCUUAACACAUGCAAGUCGAGCGGUAAGGCCCUUUCGGGGGUACGACGAGCGGCGAACGGGUGAGUAACACGUGGGUGACCUGCCCUCAGCUCUGGGAUAAGCCCGGGAAACUGGGUCUAAUACCGGAUAUGACUCCAUGACGCAUGUUGUGGGGUGGAAAGCCUUGUGCGGCUGAGGAUGGGCCCGCGGCCUAUCAGCUUGUUGGUGGGGGUGAUGGCCACCAAGGCGACGACGGGUAGGCCGGCCUGAGAGGGCGACCGGCCACACUGGGACUGAGAUACGGCCCAGACUCCUACGGGAGGCAGCAGUGGGGAAUCUUGCGCAAUGGGCGAAAGCCUGACGCAGCGACGCCGCGUGAGGGAUGACGGCCUGGUUGUAA
rnacentral:rRNA from 1 species